rnacentral:lncRNA from 1 species
AAAUCUUUCGACAAUCAAUCCAAUAAAGCUUUAUCUUGUAUGUUAGCUUUAAUCUAUCUUUUAUCUCAGAAAUAGAUGCAAAUUAGCUUUCUAAUGUAGCCUAACACUACGCCCGCACCAUAGCCUAGCACUGCAACCCUAUCUAUUUUCAUCUUCUUCGAAUGAUUGUAUGAUGGUAGCAAAAGUGCUUGAAGAUUAAAGCACC